UUCAAGCGACUGCAGCGCCACGGCCAACACAACUGUUUAUUUCCUUUCUUGUUUCCUACACUGUAGCAAUCAGAUGGACCUCGCUCUUCUGCUGUAUCUCUGUCUACGCACUACGCACAGUUAUUUUUAUGCAGCCUAGUUUAUGUUUGAGAGACUGAAUUGAUUGCAUUCUAUUAGAAAGAAUCGUAAGAAAAGGCAUCAUGUUUGGAAGAAACAAACAAAAAGGCAAAUCUAAUAAAUCAAAUAACCAGUGCGUAACCAACUGGAGCAUAGCAUUUGAAAACGUUUUAAAGGAUCCAGCUGGUCUGAAAAUAUUUACGGAAUUUUUAAAAAGAGAAUUUAGUGUUGAAAAUAUAAUGUUUUGGAUGUCAUGCAAGAAAUACAGUACAUUGACAGACAAAAUUCAAGUAAGCAGCGUUCUCGAACUAUGUCUAAAUUUCAUAUGAAAUACUUAUUUUAAAUUUCGAAUUCUGUAAUUUUAGCUGAGAAAUUAAUAAAAAAAUAAACACAAAA